AUAAGCCGCCUGACUUUGGUGGUUGUAAUUUCCGGUGUGCUUUGGUCGGCCUACACCGGAGGGAGAGCCCGCUUCGGCGGGUUUUUU
rnacentral:sRNA from 1 species